AAUAGAUACCCUGGUAGUCCACGCCGUAAACGAUGAGUGCUAAGUGUUAGAGGGUCUCCGCCCUUUAGUGCUGCAGCAAACGCAUUAAGCACUCCGCCUGGGGAGUACGGUCGCAAGACUGAAACUCAAAGGAAUUGACGGGGGCCCGCACAAGCGGUGGAGCAUGUGGUUUAAUUCGAAGCAACGCGAAGAACCUUACCAGGUCUUGACAUCCCGUGACAACUCUAGAGAUAGGGCUUUCCCCUUCGGGGGACACGGUGACAGGUGGUGCAUGGUUGUCGUCAGCUCGUGUCGUGAGAUGUUGGGUUAAGUCCCGCAACGAGCGCAACCCUUGAUCUUAGUUGCCAGCAUUAAGUUGGGCACUCUAAGGUGACUGCCGGUGACAAACCGGAGGAAGGUGGGGAUGACGUCAAAUCAUCAUGCCCCUUAUGACCUGGGCUACACACGUGCUACAAUGGAUGGUACAAAGGGCAGCGAAACCGCGAGGUUAAGCCAAUCCCAUAAAACCAUUCUCAGUUCGGAUUGCAGG
rnacentral:rRNA from 1 species